rnacentral:misc_RNA from 1 species
GACGCAUCCAAAUUGCUCCGAGGUCACCUCUCUGAUUUAUCCUCUGUUCUAAACCUUCGUCUCCAAGCUCCCUUUCUCUAUUUCCUUCAUCACGAGCAGAACUCCGUUUCCAUUUUCAUUAUCUCCCGAAAGCCGAACAGAUCCAAAACCGUAACUCUUUCUAUCUUUCUCUGUAAUGCUGGUUAAGAUCUCCUGAAUCGGUCUCUGAGCACAGUUGACCCGCGCACUGAACCAACGAGUCAAGCGCUUCGAAUUCCAAUGGGAGCAGUGCCUUCAACGCCGCGACGGGGCAGCGCACGCCCACAAGACACGGCGGAGUAUUUAAUUGGUUCAUUUGUCGGCGAAAAAUCUUUCCCGCUUGCCUCAGAUUUCUGGCAGAAACUUCUGGAACUCCCUCUCAAUCUCCGUUGGCCCACCGACCGCGUCCAGGAAGCCUGCCAGCGCUUUGCACAAAACAACUGUUAUACUAGGCAUCUUGCAAAGAUUUUGAUUCACCUAACGCAAUGUUUGCAAGAGUCCAUUUCAACUUCUGGUGCACCAUCCCCAGUUUAUACGAAGGCCAUCAAUGCAGUGUACAUUUCAUCUGUUUUCUUGAAGUACUUAAUUGAAAAUGCCCAAAGCAAAAACAUUGAGGACUUGUGUCUGUCAUUGGAUGAAAGCGAACCAGUACCAGAUGGUUUCAUAAGAGAUAUAAACAUUGAGAAUCUUGUCAUGCAUAGUGUGCUUAGCUUUAUUGGUUCUGUAGAUGUAAGUGCGAACACAUACCUCCUACAUCAGGAGUUGCUUAGCUUCAUGCUUAUUGCAAUGUCAUCCCAACUUCUUUAUGGUCCAUCCCCAGGACCAACAGAUAUGAAUCUUUUUAUUGAUGCAGCAAUGGCUCAGGAAAGUUCUUUGGUGAGUUUGGUUGUUCGCAGACUGCUACUCAAUUAUAUAAUGCGGCCUCGCAUUCCAUUGAACAGUACAUCUUAUCCUGUAUUUUCUGAAGGGAGUCAGCCAGGAGUUUUGCAAAGAGUUGGUUCUGCAGCUGCUACUUUUGUGUUACUGCCAUUCAAUUAUUUGGUCAGUUCAAAUGUUGAAGGCAUAAGAAAUCCAUUGGCCGACUGUAGCCUUCAUGUCUUGCUUAUACUUAAUUAUUAUCAUAAAUGCAUUGUGGGUGAUGAGCCUGUAACGGACAGAAGUGAUGAUAGUGCUGCUUCAGAAUCUCUUCCCAAAGUUAAUACAUAUUUCUCUGACAAUCCUUACUGCAAAGCAUUAGAAAGUGCAAGGGAUAUUGAACUUGAUCGUGUAGAUAUUGAGGGGAAUGCACACAAUGGGUCACUUGUGAGAUUACCAUUUGCAUCUCUAUUUGAUACUCUUGGCAUGUAAGUGUCAUCUUCUUCUCCGCCCUCUACAUCAGUACUUUGUAUAGUUUGAGUUUUAGCAUGCUAGAAUAUAUGCUUUUCUAUAUCUUCAUGGAUCCUGGUUUAAGUUGCAUCUAUGCUCCUUAGGAGGGAUUAGAAGAAGUAAGUCAAUUUAUACUAGCCGUUCUACUGCUAUGUAGUUCCUGUUUUCAUUGGUGAAAUAUAAGGGAGGAAUUCGAAGUAAGUUUAAUCAUACUAGCUGUGUCUACUGCUAUGUAGUUCCUUUUUUCAUUGGUGACAGAGAGAGAAAGAGAUAAGAAGUAGAAAAAGCAAGUUAGUUAACAUUUACCUACUUCUACUACUAUAUAGUUCCAUUUUUAUUAGUUUCCUAACUACUAAACUUGUUUCUUAUUCUUAUUUUUGUUGGUUGCCUCAUAACAAUGCAGCUCUGUUGUCUGUGUCUCUCAGAAUAUUGCAUAAAAGUUUUUCCUAUGCAGGUGCUUGGGUGAUGAAACUGCUGCCCUAUUACUUUACACGUUGGUGCAUGGAAACUCUGAUUUUUUGGAGUAUGUUUUAGUGCGAACUGAUUUGGAUACAUUGGUAUGAAAUAUCAACUUGAUAUUUCUGUUAUUUUCCUUUCUUUUUCUCAAACCUUCAAAUUUGGAUUAGCAUGGAAAAGGAUACCUCUUUGGGAGGAGCUUUUGAAGGAAGCUUAGUUAACUGAGGUUUUGUUUGAUAAGUAAAUUUUAAUAAGCAACUAACUAUUGAUAUCAACAAAAUUCUUAUAUUUGUUGAUUUUAUGGCUUGUCUUAAUUAUUUAUGUGAUGGCUUUACUGAAGUACAGCCUAAUAAUGACCUUUUUCUGUGGAAUGAAACCUACAGCUGAUGCCCAUUCUAGAGACGCUAUACAAUACUUCAAAGAGAACAUCAAAUCAUAUAUACAUCUUGUUGAUUAUACUUCUUAUACUGAGUCAAGAUUCUUCUUUUAAUGCAAGCAUACACAAGAUGGUAAGAAUAAACUCUAAUGGUCAAUGUUUGACCUUAUUUUUAAGGAUUAUAUUAUUUUCUUUACUCUUUUUUAUCAAUUCCUCCAGAUAUUGCCUAGUGUUCCAUGGUAUCAAGAGCAUCUUCUUCAUCAAACAUCUCUUGGUUCCCUAAUGGUCAUAAUUCUUAUAAGGACUGUGAAGUAUAACCUAUCUAAGCUGAAGGUAUGACUUAAAUUAUUUACCAUUUCCAAGUUUUGUGGUAAUCCCUCUCAAAAUCGUCUUUAUUGAGUGCUAUAAUAUUGAAAGAUGAUAUUAAUUUACCACAAAAAACGCUUCUUUUGAUAUAUUUGUUAAACAUUUAAUGCGUUCAUAUUCCCUUCCAUGGUUUUAGUAGCGGUAUUCUUUUUAAUCAUGGGUUCAUUGUCUGGUUCAAUGUUGAUAGUUUUCAGUUGCACUGUGUGAUGGCAUGGAGCCUUUAGAACAGUUAUGUCAUGCAAUCAUACUGAAGUUCAGGGCUGUAUUGAAACAGUCCCUCCUAGGACCAUUUUGCUUGGUGUUUGGGACGAACAUGGGGUUAGCGACAUCAUUUCUUUUCUUUUGUGUGGGGUGAAGGUGGGGAGAGAGGGGGAUGUGGUUUUCCCACUUGUAUGGGUGAACACAGAGCCCUGCUGCUUCUGUGUAAUGCGAAGAAGGAUCAAAGUAUCUAGCCUAACUAUUGUUAAUGGACCAUUUUUCUCACAUGGGAUCCAUUCAGAUGUUUAUCAUGUUAAUGAUGGCAACUUCUAUUUCGUCAUGGUGGAUGUUGAUUAUUUUCUUAUAUAAGAAGUACGUAUGUUACUGUAAAUGUUGAUAGGUAUAAUCUAAAAAUUUCCCUCACAGCCCUUGAAAAUUUUAAAUUUGUGACAGGAUCUCUAUCUCCAUACAACUUGUGUAGCGACUUUGGCAAACAUGGCUCCUCAGGUCCACCGUUUGAGUGCAUAUGCGUCACAAAGACUAGUUGGCCUUUUCUACAUGCUGUCUCGCAAGUACAACAAACUUGCAGAAAAGAUAGAUGAUAAGAUAGGAAAGAAUGGCUCAGUUCAAGAAGGCAGCCUUGCUGAAGAUAUGUCUGCUGAGUUGCAUAUUUACACUGACUUCCUGAGAAUUGUCCUUGAAAUAUUAAAUGCAAUCUUGACUUAUGCCCUGCCACGCAAUCCUGAGGUUGUUUAUGCUAUAAUGCACAGGCAGGAAGUUUUUCAUCCAUUCAAGAAUCACCCACGCUUCAAUGAAUUGAUUGAAAAUAUUUACAUGGUUUUAGAUUUCUUUAAUAGUCGCAUGGAUGCACAUACAAAAGAUGGGGAAUGGUCCGUAGAGAAAGUCCUCCAGCUUGUAAUUAUUAAUUGUCGAUCAUGGCGAGGUGAAGGAAUGAAGAUGUUUACUCAAUUACAUUUCUCAUACGAACAAGAGAGUCAUCCAGAGGAGUUCUUCACUCCAUAUAUUUGGCGGCUGGCUUUGACCCACUGUGGAUUCAGCUUUAAUCCCGGUACCAUAAAUUUAUUUCCUGUUGACUUGUCAGGGGAAGUAAGUAUCUAGAUCUACUUUAUAAUCUUUGAAAGUUAGAAUUUUUGAUGUUGUAUUUAACUUUUUGUUGCAUUGCCACAACUUGCAUAAUGACCUCAGUUUCAGUCAUAGAACUGCCAUAAAAAGGAUGUGAUUCAUUUUGUUCUUGUGGAAGCAGCAAAUGUGCCCUUCUUUUAUUUUUCUUUUGGAAUUGCUGUUGCAUCAUAUGCCCAAAUUUGUGCUGGACUUUUGGAUUGCAUUAACAAAAUAAUUGGCUGGAUGUGGCUCCCAGUUCUGGUUAAUACUUUAUUUUACCAAUUACUUGAAAACUAGCUUGAAUUUAUUGAAAGAACGAACUUAACUGUGUGAAAUCAACACCUGCUUUCAGCAACAAAAAUUAUGAGAUCUUGGCAGGUGCUUGGUGAAACUGUAUAAGAUAUCAGAUGGAGCAGUUGGGAUACCUAAUUAUUGAAUUAGGUGUCAAACAGAAAAGGGACCUUUUUUGGAUAACCCAGAUUCAGGAAUGAUGAUAGUUAUUUCUAUGAUGAUAGUUAUUUCUAAACACGACAUCAUAGUGAAGGAUACAGCAGGAAAUUAUCAUUUUUGUGGUCAAGUGAUUUUAAUUUUCUUUUUGGUGGAGUAAUUCCUCUGACCUACUCGUAGACCAUGUUGCUAUUUCAGGUACUUGUACUAAAUUUUCCUCUGGUACUUGACUAAGGAAAUUUAAAAUACCAAAAAUCUAAGAAUAUUAACUGAUAGGCAAAUGCAGAAGAAAUUUUAGGGCUUUGUGCAAUGAACUAAAAUUUCUUAAGCAACUAAUGAAAUAUGGGUUGCUAAAAGACUAGAGCUGCCUGCCUGCCUAGUAUAGGCCACCGGAAAUAACUGGGAUGGUUUUGUGUGUGCUGAGACAUCUGAUAACUUGUGUAGCUGGUUUUCAUUGGGGAAUCCAUUACUAGGCAGGUGUAUAGCCAAGUGGUCGUUGUUUGCACCAGUAGAAUUCCAUAUUGUUAUUAUUGUUAUUUUAGCUCCCUGGGAAUGGUUUGAGUUGUGACCCAUAAUCCGAUCCUGGAAUUACUUCAGAAAUUAAGCAAACCUCAGUAAUUUUGUUUUUUCUUCUUCGGCAAGUUGUCACUUGCGUGGAAUGUUAUCUCUUUACAGUGAGUUAUUUUGCUGCAGAAACUAAAUGAUUAUGGUGGGAAGUUUGACAAGCAUCAAAAUGGACAGCUGGAUCAGCAUGUGCAGCUUGACGUGUAGCGGGUGAAGUGCAACGUAUUCCGCCACAGAUAUGUUCAUAGUUACUGUUUUGUAAAUACGUGGAUAAGUGUAUUCGUCCCAUUCUUUCCUGUUUAUAUGCUUGCAAAAUUGUGGAGUCUACCAAAAAAAAACAAGAAAAAAAAAAUGAUUUUACAUCACAAUGUAAUGAAUAUGAGUGGGAUUCCAGUUUACAGAUUCUAUUUCUUUUGCCUAGGCAGGCACGGCUCUUCUUUAGCUUGUUAGAUUAAAUGGUGCAGGUUCAACCUUUGAUGAUGCAAAAAUGGAUUGAUUUGUUUCUCAACUAUUGUUAGAGAAACAAAUUAGCUUUGGGCAUUGCACUUUCGUACUGUGCCUAUGGAGAAUGUAAAUAAUUCCCAGUUAAUAUUUUAUGAGUUUUGAAAUUGAACCUCGUAAUUAUUUUGUUGAAAACUUUUUAUCUA